CCAAGUUCCAACUUUCCUCCAGGUCGGCUGAGGGGUGCAGGUGGAGAGUCUGGGGGUCCAGGGAAAAGGCUCUCUCUGAGGAAAUGAAAGAGAACGAAAAGAGGUCUUCUGCAACAGAAAGUUCGUCCACAGCUAAGAAGAG
rnacentral:lncRNA from 1 species